ensembl:lncRNA
GCAAAAAUACUUUGACUCGGGUGACUACAACAUGGCUAAAGCGAAGAUAAAGAACAAACAGUUGCCAACAGCUGCACCGGAGAAGACCGAGAUCACAGGGGACCACAUCCCCACCCCCCAGGACCUGCCCCAGAGGAAACCCUCUCUGGUGGCCAGUAAACUAGCAGGCUGAUGCAUACGCAAUCUCAAUGGCCCCUGCAGCACCUCCCAGCCCUAACCCUGUCCACUCAAGUCUCAGAGCUGUAACAUUACCUCUCCCACCCUUUACACUACCACCCUGCGUCUGCCCCCCUCCACGCCAGCCUGGACCCCACCCAACUGGAACCCACACCUAGCACCUAGCGGACUGGCUAGCCGAUACUUUCAAAUCCUGUUUAUUUUUGUUUCGACCCCACCUGCCCCUGUCUCUGCUGCCCCCUAUCCUUGUUUCUGUCCCUUGGGUCUCCCGCUCCAAUGACUGUGUGUUAUCAUCCUCUUACUUUUCCCUCUCCUUUCAUGUUUUUUGUUUUGUUUUGUUUUUUUUUACUUCCAUGUAAGAUACACUGAAUGACAGGACAUCCAAGUGUGAGUGUGAUGAGUGGUCUGUGAUGCUUCUGUUUGACGGAUGGACAAUGCAUACGUCUGUGUUUACUGGCAGAGGAGAAGGGCGAGCAGCAGAAGCUGCACCUCGCAUGGUUGGAGAACUUAAAUAUGGUGGUCAGGAUCCCUCAGUCUACAAAUGUGUGUGUGUGUCUAUAAAUAUAUAUAUAUAUAUAUAUAUAUAUAUAUACAUAUAAAUAUUUCUUUUUGUUUGCCACAGGGGCAGGCGUCAGCCUUUUAGAACGUUUUACAUCAGAUUUGUAUUAUUCACUGUAUGUCCUUAUUCUAAAUUAUGCUGUCGAUAUGCUUGAGUGACUGACUGAAUAUUGUAAUCCAGAGGCCAAGUUCAGUUUUGUUAACACUUUGAUUGUGUCCGUAUUAAAGGACCACGCAGUAAGGGCCAGAUUGUCAUAUGGAACUGCAUGUGUGACGCAGGGCUCCCAAAGGCGAACCUCAUUGCGCUCUGUUUUAAUUCAUUAAGAUGCACUAAGCAGACAUUUAAGCAGAUGCUGAAUAGCUUGGGUGAAGUAUAAAAGCAUUGGGAAGGCAGGUAGAUGAUUCAUUCAAGAUGUCUAUGAACUAGGAAAUGUUCUCCUUUGAAGAGUGAAAGAGGAAGGGAGGACGUUGUUACUUCAGACUGAACUGCAGUGUUGAAAGUUUGCACUGUGUUCAUGGUGUGCCAUUCCGUUUCAGCCUCAGAUGGCGACACUGUCCUGGGGUCAAAGCUGUCAUGAAUGAAUCAUCAUGCUCAAAGAGGGGUAGAGGGGUAUACGGGACCUGUAACCUAAAUUACUGUCAGUGGGGACCAGUGUUUGCGUCCUGUAUGCUGUGUGAGUAUAAAUCUAUGGUUAAAAAUAAAUUGUACUGGGAACAAAUAGUGUAAUAACUUGGGAAAAAUCCUUGUGUAAUCAUAAGUUGAAGUAGUUUUAUCUUAAAAUUGUCCUCGACCCUGUGUAGUGCGUUUCCAGGGUCUUUACUGAUUGGAUGAAAUUUACCUGUGAUGGUGGUAAUUGAAGCUAGCACUACAUCUGUCUGAGCUGUGCAUGUAUAUGGCUGCCCUGCUGUCACGUUGUGCCAUUUUGUUUUGUAAAUAAAAUAGUUUUGCACAAAUGUU